CCUCAUAAUACUGCGGAGGGAGGAAACAACAACAAAAAAGAAUAAAAAAAAAAAAAGCCAACGGUAGAAUGUACGCGUGCGUACUCCGUCCUUCCAUUCCCUCCCUAGCGCGGUGCUUCAAAGCAAGUCGGAGAGCGUUCGGCUCGUAGCGAGUAGCAGUAGUGGGUAUCCAACCUUGUGCAUCUGAUAAGGUAUGAAAUGUGCUCGCUGGGAAUUAUACACAGGCCUUCCUCUCUCCACUUUUGGGAAAGAAGCCAAGACUUCUUCAG